AAAUCAUUUUGGGGACAAUUUCUUAUCAAUCCUUUGUAGCAUUCCCAUGCUUCGUAAAGUGACUCACCCGGUGCUCGAAAUUUGCUAUAACUUUCUUGAUUUU